rnacentral:lncRNA from 1 species
AAUAUUUGAUUACUGAAAAUAAUGCAUUGGUAACUAAAAUCUGAUAUAUAUAUUUUUAAUAUGUAUGAAAAACCUAAAAUGUACAUCUUUCUGAAACGGAGUGAGUACUAUUCAAAUUCAUGACUUUUAAUUUAUAGGAAUAAAUGUAUAUUUUGUUUUUUUCUCUUGUAUACAUACAAAUUUUAUUAUUUGUUUUGUUGAAAGUUUUGUUUAUUGAUCAUAGGCAUAUUAAUAUGAUUUUUUAUCUCGGAAUUUUACAGUAUUUAUUUUUGUAUGCUGAAAUUUUUUUCAUAUUUUCAGUACCUAGUUAUACAAAUAAUAGGUACAUGUGUUUUUUAGAAUUUAUUUUGAUCCCGCAAACUUGAGCAAAACUUUUCAUCAUGUCAUCUCAUCCAUGUUUUCCUAUAACCUUAGAUUCAUUAGAUAUACUCAUUAGAUACCUAGUUAGAACUCUUUU